GUGGGGAAUAUUGGACAAUGGGCGAAAGCCUGAUCCAGCCAUGCCGCGUGUGUGAAGAAGGUCUUCGGAUUGUAAAGCACUUUAAGUUGGGAGGAAGGGCAGUAAGUUAAUACCUUGCUGUUUUGACGUUACCGACAGAAUAAGCACCGGCUAACUUCGUGCCAGCAGCCGCGGUAAUACGAAGGGUGCAAGCGUUAAUCGGAAUUACUGGGCGUAAAGCGCGCGUAGGUGGUUUUGUAAGUUGGAGGUGAAAUCCCCGGGCUCAACCUGGGAACUGCCUCCAAAACUGCAUGGCUAGAGUACGGUAGAGGGUAGUGGAAGUUCCUGUGUAGCGGUGAAAUGCGUAGAUAUAGGAAGGAACACCAGUGGCGAAGGCGACUACCUGGACUGAUACUGACACUGAGGUGCGAAAGCGUGGGGAGCAAACAGGAUUAGAAACCCGUGUAGUCC
rnacentral:rRNA from 1 species